rnacentral:rRNA from 1 species
UACGGGGGGGGCAAGCGUUGUUCGGAAUUACUGGGCGUAAAGGGCUCGUAGGCGGCCAACUAAGUCAGACGUGAAAUCCCUCGGCUUAACCGGGGAACUGCGUCUGAUACUGGAUGGCUUGAGUUUGGGAGAGGGAUGCGGAAUUCCAGGUGUAGCGGUGAAAUGCGUAGAUAUCUGGAGGAACACCGGUGGCGAAGACGGCAUCCUGGACCAACACUGACGCUGAGUGAGCGAAAGCCAGGGGAGCAAACGGG